AAUAUAAAAACACACGAUAUAUCUAAUAUGCAGGAUAAAUUGGGGAUCGAAUCAAAGGGAAGGCACUAAGAUUAAGCAGGAAUGGAAAGGCUUCUUGGAGAAAAAAAAAGGAUUCUAACUAAGGCUUGGAGGAAUUCAAGGAUGCCAGAAGGUUCUAUUUGUUUUGCUAUUGUCUUCUGAAAUACAGACUCAAGCGGAGUAAAGAACCUAUUUGAAGAGGAGAAGUCCAAAUAUGAACACAGACUUUCUUUUUAAAAAAGCUACUAAUGUGCUGCUUAAUAUUGGAUUACAUGCUGGCUAAGAAAAGGGGAAGAUGGGGAGGGAGAAUAAUUUGGAAGACAACGUUUUGCAAGGGUUAAUGUUGAAAACUAUCUUUGCGUGUAUUUUGAAAAAUAAAAGCUAUUAUUAUAUAAAAAAAUAAACUACUGCUGUGUAUACUUGA